rnacentral:lncRNA from 1 species
CAUUUUUAGCUCACCUGGCCUAAAAGGCCAAGUGAGCUUUUCUCAUCACUUGGCGUCCGGCGUCCGGCGUCGUCCGUCGUCCGUCGUCGUCCGUCGUCGUCGUUAACUUUUACAAAAAUCUUCUCCUCUGAAACUACUGGGCCAAAUUAAACCAAACUAGGCCACAAUCAUCAUUGGGGUAUCUAGUUUAAAAAAUGUGUCCGGUGACCCGUCCAACCAUCCAAGAUGGCCGCCAUUGCUAAAAAUAGAACAUAGGGGUAAAAUGCAGUUUUUGGCUUAUAACUCAAAAACCAAAGCAUUUAGAGCAAAUCUGACAUGGGG